AUACGAAGGGAGCUAGCGUUGUUCGGAAUUACUGGGCGUAAAGCGCACGUAGGCGGACUUGUUAGUCAGGGGUGAAAUCCCGGGGCCCAACCUCGGAACUGCCUUUGAUACUGCAAGUCUGGAGUCCGGAAGAGGUGGGUGGAAUUCCUAGUGUAGAGGUGAAAUUCGUAGAUAUUAGGAAGAACACCGGUGGCGAAGGCGGCCCACUGGUCCGGUACUGACGCUGAGGUGCGAAAGCGUGGGGAGCAAACAGGAUUAGAAACCCCGGUAGUCC
rnacentral:rRNA from 1 species